UAACUGAAUCGGUGAACCCAAAGUCAC
rnacentral:piRNA from 1 species